CCUACGGGGUGCAGCAGUGGGGAAUAUUGGGCAAUGGGCGCAAGCCUGACCCAGCAACGCCGCGUGAAGGAAGAAGGCUUUCGGGUUGUAAACUUCUUUUCUCAGGGACGAAGCAAGUGACGGUACCUGAGGAAUAAGCCACGGCUAACUACGUGCCAGCAGCCGCGGUAAUACGUAGGUGGCAAGCGUUAUCCGGAUUUACUGGGUGUAAAGGGCGUGUAGGCGGGACUGCAAGUCAGAUGUGAAAACCAUGGGCUCAACCUAUGGCCUGCAUUUGAAACUGUAGUUCUUGAGUGCUGGAGAGGCAGACGGAAUUCCGAGUGUAGCGGUGAAAUGCGUAGAUAUUAGGAGGAACACCAGUGGCGAAGGCGGUCUGCUGGACAGCAACUGACGCUGAGGCGCGAAAGCGUGGGGAGCAAACAGGAUUAGAUACCCAUGUAGUC
rnacentral:rRNA from 1 species